UCCGCCCCCGCCCCACGCGCCGGCGGCGCGGACCUCCUUGUCAAUGGGAGCGCGGGGCCGGGCUGCCCGCAGGACGGUCAGGUGGGCCCCCCAGCUCGCUGCCAGCGCGGCCUCUGUCCCUCUCGGGCCGGCUCUCCAUCUUGUCGCCCGUAGCCCGCCUUCUCCGUGGCUCUCCAGCCGCUGGGGCCGCAGAGCCGAGGCCGGGUUACCUCAGGAAACGCGAUGUGGUAGUGGGUCGGAAUAAACCCGCGCGCCCCAGAAUUCGCCUUGGGGGCGUAAGGACAGAUUCGGACUUUUCGUUUCCUAUGUCCACAUUUAUUGAGCACCUAAUAUGUGACACCCGAGGCUGUAAGAAGAGGAACGCAGCGGGCGGAGAAAAGCCAGAGCUUUUUCUCUGUGAGCCGCUGCCUCCAGGGCCAUAGCCGACCCUGCUCCGAGAUCCCAGCCGCCGCUCUCCGUGCAGGAGGGGUGCCCACCCUGGGGAGGCCAGGGUGCCCGGAGUGGAGGGACAGGGCUUCAAGCGACCGGGAGUUUCCAGCAAACCCCUGAUCCCUGAGCAGUUUAUUUUAAAAGCUUUUGCAAAUGUUGGACGGUUUCGUUUGGUGGAGGCCGUCUUUGCACUAAAUUCUCCUGUCCUCCCCCUUCGAAACGCACAAAAUGAAUUUUGAACAGAUUUUGGAUGAGAGGUUUUCUUCCUUUUUUCAUCUUCUGAAACAUUUCCCCCUCAUUUCUUCUCAGAUAAAGACCCAGAAACCCGGGACAGUUACUCGGUGUACAGCUAGUCAAAUACUGAGGAAACCAGUCGAUAUUUGCCAAAGAUUGGGCAUGUUCUGGGUGGUCUCAGAUUUUGAAGAAACGACUUUUUUACUGCACAAAAUAGUUUUACAAUCAGUUCCAUCAGACAGCCCCAGGGGCUCUCCUAGGGAAAGGGGCCAAUAGGCAAGGUUGCAUGGGGAUAAGAGAGGCAAGCGGCCAGUGGAAAACGGUUUUUUGUUUUUUUUUUCCUAACAGUUGGGCAUUUCUGUAGCUCUGAAAGCAAACUUGUUUGUUUCAUUUCAACGAUAGAAAAAAAACACUCCUGUUUUGGAAAUGUAACCCAGCAUAAAAAUACAUUUGCAAUGGGGAAAAAGAAAGCAGUUUAGGGCCACCCAGAAGAAAAUAUUUUUUCCCUGAUUUUUUUUUAAUUUGGUAUUUCCCAGUGUGGGUUUGCCUCAUUUUACAAAUAGCUGCCCAUGUCAAGAUGUGGGUAUGUGAUUUAAAUAUUUUAAUUUGAAUCACAUUUUACAUAGUCUAGGAAACUGACAAAAGAAUCCUAUAGAGAAUUGUUUUAUAAAGUGAAUAACUGCUUCUCUACCUACCCGCCCCUCUCAUUCUUCUUUUCUGUGCGUGUUUUUGGGGGGCUGUUAUGGGAUAAAUCUUGUUUGGCUUAAAAAUCACUAAAACGCAGCCUUUCAAAUCCAAAACAGAGAGCUUAGGUACCCAACAUUCUAUAGAAUGUAUUAUUUCCUCAAGAGGUUGCUAGGAACAGUUAUGUAGAUCUACCAGGUGCAGGGAAGCACUCCACACCCUCACCCAGGUCCUGUAUCCCUGCAAGACUGCGUUGGAAAGACUGAAGAGGCAUUGCUGUGCUGGGAAGGAAUGCUUAAACCUGCCACAGCCAUGUUGUGAUUAUGAAGGGAGCCAACCUGAGGACAAAUCACAUUUUCUGAGGAUGGCAAAGCAAACAGAUGCAAAGAUCCUGGGUCUUUGAUGGCAUUGUGGAGUUGCUGGACAGCUUCCCUACUUUUCACGUUCCUAUGACACAAUGUUAUCAUCGUCCUUGUUGUAUCAGCCAGGAGCUGACAAGCCAUAGCAGGACGGCUAUCCCCUGAGAGAUAGGAGAGGAGGAGAAACAGCCUGACAGGGGCCUGGAGCAGCUGGCUGGCGUCAGUAAUUUCCUGCAGGAGACUCUGCUGGCCGAGCACACAUCACCCUUCUGUUGCUCCUCUGUAUUCUCCCUUGUGCUACUAAAAUACGCUAAUGUAACUCCUGGGCUGUGCUAAGCUAAAUGCAGUUAUUUAACCUCAUUUCUAUGGAACCCAGGUCUAAAGCAGCAACAUCUAUUUGGAACAAGAUGGGGAGGAGCAAGAGUGAAUUCAUGCUCUUCUUCAUGGAGGUGGAUGUUUCUGGAAGGAGGUUUGUGAUGUCCUUUGCAGGGACAUGGAUGGAGUUGGAAGCCCUUAUCCUCAGCAAACUAAUGCAGGAACAGAAAACCAAACACUGCAUGUUCUUACUUAUAAGUGGGAACUGAAUGAUGAGAACACAUGGACACAUAAGGGGAAAUGACACACACUGGGGCCUGUCAGAGCUGAGGGGUUGUGGGGAGAGGGAGAGAAUCAGGAAUAAUGGCUAAUGUAUGCUGUGCUUAAUAUCUAGGUGAUGGGAUGAUCUGUGCAGCAAACCACCAUGGCACACGUUUACCUAUGUAACAAACCUGGACAUCCUGCACAUGUAUCCUGG
ensembl:lncRNA GNAO1-DT GNAO1 divergent transcript